rnacentral:rRNA from 1 species
UCCUGUAGGUGAAAGUCAAGAUAAUCAAGUUCUGAUCCAGAGUACCACGAGACACGUGAAACCUUGUGGGAAGCAGGGAGGACCACCUCCCAAGGCUAAAUACUACCUGAUGACCGAUAGUGAAGCAGUACCGUGAGGGAAAGGUGAAAAGAACCCCGGGAGGGGAGUGAAAUAGAACCUGAAACCGUGUGCCUACAACCGGUCAAAGCCCCUUAUGAGGGUGAUGACGUGCUUUUUGUAGAACGAGCCAACGAGUUACGGUAUGUAGCAAGGUUAAGUACUUAAGGUACGGAGCCGAAGGGAAACCGAGUCUUAAUAGGGCGACUAGUUGCAUGCCGUAGACCCGAAACCGGGUGACCUAUCCAUGGCCAGGUUGAAGCGAGGGUAAAACUUCGUGGAGGACCGAACCACGUUGCUGUUGAAAAAGCAUGGGAUGAGCUGUGGAUAGCGGAGAAAUUCCAAUCGAACUCGGAGAUAGCUGGUUCUCCCCGAAAUAGCUUUAGGGCUAGCGUCGGAUAUGUGUAGUGGAGGUAGAGCACUGAAUGGGCUAGGGGGCAUAUCGCUUACCGAACCUUAUCAAACUCCGAAUGCCAUAUACAUUAAGUCCGGCAGUCAGACUACGAAUGAUAAGAUCCGUGGUCAAAAGGGAAACAGCCCAGACCGUCAGCUAAGGUCCCAAAGUGUAAGUUAAGUGGAAAAGGAUGUGGGAUUUCUAAGACAACUAGGAUGUUGGCUUAGAAGCAGCCACUCAUUUAAAGAGUGCGUAAUAGCUCACUAGUCGAGAGAUCCUGCGCCGAAAAUGUACCGGGGCUAAACUUACCACCGAAGCUACGGAUUUGCAAGUAAUUGCAAGUGGUAGGGGAGCGUCGUAAUCGGGCUGAAGUCGUACCGGAAGGAGCGGUGGACUGAUUACGAGUGAGAAUGUUGGCAUUAGUAGCGAGAUGUAGGUGAGAAUCCUACAGGCCGAAUAUCUAAGGUUUCCUCAGGAAGGCUCGUCCGCUGAGGGUUAGUCGGGACCUAAGCCGAGGCCGAAAGGCGUAGGCGAUGGACAAUCGGUUGAUAUUCCGAUACCACUACCAUCGUUAUUAUCGAGGGUGUGACGGAGAAGGAUAGUGUGUGCUAGCGAUUGGAAAUGCUAGUCUAAGCGUUUAGGGAGUUACGGUAGGCAAAUCCGCUGUAACAAUUCUGAGGCGUGAUGGGGAAGGUCAUUAAGACCGAAGUACAUGAUUCCAUGCUUCCAAGAAAAGCAUCUAGAGAGAGAAGUAGUGCCCGUACCGCAAACCGACACAGGUAGAUGAGGAGAGAAUCCUAAGGCCGGCGGAAGAAUUGCAGUUAAGGAACUAGGCAAAUUGACCCCGUAAGUUCGCGAGAAGGGGUGCCUGCGAGAGCAGGCCGCAGAGAAUAGGCCCAAGCAACUGUUUAGCAAAAACACAGGUCUCUGCUAAAGCGUAAGCUGAUGUAUAGGGGCUGACGCCUGCCCGGUGCUGGAAGGUUAAGGGGAACACUUAGCGCAAGCGAAGGUGUGAACUUAAGCCCCAGUAAACGGCGGCCGUAACUAUAACGGUCCUAAGGUAGCGAAAUUCCUUGUCAGGUAAGUUCUGACCCGCACGAAUGGCGUAAUGACUUGGGCACUGUCUCAACUGCAAAUCCGGCGAAGUUGUAGUGCGAGUGAAGAUGCUCGCUACCCGCGAUUGGACGGAAAGACCCCGUAGAGCUUUACUGUAGCUUAGCAUUGAAUUCCGGUAUUGUCUGUACAGGAUAGGUGGGAGACUGGGAAACUAGGGCGUCAGCCUUAGUGGAGUCAACCUUGGGAUACCACCCUGACAGUACUGGGGUUCUAACAGGACGCCAUGAAGCUGGUGACUGGACAUUGUUAGGUGGGCAGUUUGACUGGGGCGGUCGCCUCCUAAAAAGUAACGGAGGCGCCCAAAGGUUCCCUCAGAACGGUCGGAAAUCGUUCGUAGAGUGCAAAGGCAGAAGGGAGCCUGACUGCGAGACCCACAAGUCGAGCAGGGACGAAAGUCGGGCUUAGUGAUCCGGUGGUACCUCGUGGGAGGGCCAUCGCUCAACGGAUAAAAGCUACCUCGGGGAUAACAGGCUGAUCUCCCCCAAGAGUCCACAUCGACGGGGAGGUUUGGCACCUC